UGCAAAUGAUGCUUUUUCUCACGAUGGUCUUCCAAGCUCAGGAGGCUCUGACGACAAUGCCUUUCGGCAAAUGCUGAUGCAGUGUG
ensembl:snoRNA